rnacentral:tRNA from 1 species
GCAGUGGUUAUUCAAUGGUAGAAUUUUUGCUUUUCAUGCAGGAGACCCCGGUUCAAUUCCUGGUCAGUGCA